AAAGCAUAAGCUAUCCUCUCAAGAAUGUUUCUCUCUCUAGACCUCACACUCUCCAUUUUUCCUCUGCCUUCUCUCUACCUUUUCUUUCAACUGAACCGUUAGAAUUUCAAUCCGUAGGCGCCUAAACGAUCCUGACGCGAGAGCUUCAAUUGGCACCGAUCAAUUUCAGGAUUCAUUGUUGUAAGUUGCUCUUCAUUGUUCCUUGCUGAUUUGGAACCCUAGACCAUGCAAUUUGUUGUUGCGUGUGUCUUCUAUUUUUUUUUUCUUCUGUCCAAUUCUAGCUCUAAGAGUUGUUCUUUAUUAUCACAUUAUGGGUUGUAGGGUGCUGUCUAGAUUAUUCGCGUGUGAGAUAUUGUAGUUGUGGGUCUUUGAGCUGAGUAAAGAAAUUUCAAGGUGAGGGAAGAAACCUAGUAAAUAUUAUGUGAAAAUAUGAUGCUGUAUUUAUAUAUUUGGUUGUUUAUUUUGUUUUGGGAGAUUGUUUGCUGCAAGACAAUUGGCGUAUAAUAUGAGAUUAUGAAUAAUUGCUUAUGAUUGGAUAUAUAUAUAUAUAUAUAUGAAUGUUGCAUACAAUGUUUGAUUUUAAACGAUUAAGAUACAGUGAAUUGUCGUUGAAGAAUUUCACAGGUUAUAGAGCAUACUUUAAAUAUUUGUGCGUGAUAUAAUUAGUUCGAUUAGAGUAUACUUUAUGGGAUGUUUUCACUUUGUAAUUGGUUUUUGAUCUAAUACAGUAACAAGUUUAUGAGGGAUAUUAGUUGUAUCAGCGAAUGAGUUUUGAAAAUGGGGAUAUGGAAAUAGUUUCGUGCAGUGAACUUUAGGAUUGAAAGAUAUAAUCUUUAGAAUUUUUAUGCAUAUGGGUCUUAAGGCAUUGUUUAUAUAUAUAUAUAUAUAUAUAUAUAUAUAUAUAUAUAUAUAUAUAUAUAUAUAUAUAUAUAUAUAUAUAUAUAUAUAAAAGAUUAAAAUGUAAGGUAAUAUAGUAAUAUAAUUAAAAAGAUGCAGAGGGUGUGGGAAUGAUAAUAAACUAUAUUUAAAAUGUUCAUAUAAUUUAAAUUUAAAAAUAUUCUCAACCAAAGGUCAUUGAAAGUACAUUUAAAUGGUAGAUUAUAAAUAAAGCUUGAAAUUAUGACAAUUUAAGUUAUAAACGAGAAGUUCAAUAUCGAAAUUACUGAAAAGGAAUAUAGGUUAGGUAAGAAAUUCAAAUGCAAUUAUGAAGGUAAACAAUAAGAAAAGUAAAAAUUUAACAUGGUAAUAAAGAAUGUGAGAACAUUCUCUCUUUUAAUCGAUUUUACUUUGAACGUUAUCAAAAUUUUGUAAAUAUGAUCCUUUUCAUCUUAAAUUGCAUAAUAAGAAAAUUUAUGCAUAGAUAACAUUUUGAGAACAUUCUCUCUUUUAAUCGAUUUUACUUUGAACGUUAUCAAAAUUUUGUAAAUAUGAUCCUUUUCAUCUUAAAUUGCAUAAUAAGAAAAUUUAUGCAUAGAUAACAUUUCUAACAAUUUUAGAAUUAUGAAACAUAUAUGUGUUUAUAAACUAUAAAACACGCAUAUAAAACUAACGGCUUGAAGAAAGGACAGUAGAAAUGAUUUUGCAAUGUAUAUCUUAAGUUUUCUGUUUCUUCAUUCCAUUUGGUUAAGGAUUUCUUUUUUUCUUUUCAAUUUCUUAUAUUUAUUGUAUUAAUCUUUUUCAACAAGUAAAUAGUGGCAGAGAUUGCAUAUGAUUUUAAAUUCUAUUAAUAUAAUAUAGUUAUGUAUAAGAUUAUUAUAUACGUGUAAUAUGUAUAAAAGGGAAUGUUGAUAUAGUUGGAAUCAUAAUUCAUUUAUAAUAUUAUAAUAUGUAUAUAUUUGUGUGUUGGUUUAAUAUAAAUAUUAUAAUAGAAUUAUGAUUUAAUAUAACUAUUAUAAUAUGAUUAAAGGAAACAUGUGGUGUACAUGAAUUUAGAUAUUGAAAAUAAGUAUAAAAGAUUUUAGCAUUGAUUAAUUUAGAGUAAAUUUGUGGAGUUGUUACUUCUAUAACUUGUGAUGAAUGAGUUAAUGUAUGCUUAUGUAUGAGACUUGUGUGUGGUUUGAAAGAACAUGAUUGUGGAAUAGAAUGAUAUAAUUGAGUAUGAAUUGAACAUCUCAGGGUGAGAUGAUUGAAAGUGAAGUGAGGGGUGUUGUUGUUGUUUGUAUAAUGUCGGGAGCUUUGAAAUGGUGUAUCUAUCCCUACACUCAAAACAUUGUUCAUACUCAAAUAGAGGAGAACAGUGUGAGUGGUGAGAGUAGAGGGAGGUCCUCGUCUAUAGUCCUGGAGUUUAGACAUAGACAGAUUGGGGGAUUUACCUUGCAUAGUGUUGGGAUGGGCCAACUGAACUAUGCAAGUGCAAAGACGACCAAUAGCUAGACAGUUAUACCAAAUCCGGAUGAGUCGUGUUGAGUGUUUGAUGCAUGGGCUGAUUGGUAUGCCUUGCUUGUUCUUUCAUUUGAAAUUAAGCAUAAUGAUAUUUAUAGAUUGUACUAUAUGUUAAAAUGUUUGUUUACCUAGCUCACCCUUACUUUUGUGUUGUAUGUUGCUUGGGUAUGCUUUCUCUUGCGAUGAUCAUCCACUUGGAUGGGAGCAGAUGUCGUUGAGGAGGUUCCAAUGGAGGAAGUGUUGGAGGACGCUGAUGUUGCGACUUAGUCCUCCCUAGGUUUUCUUCCUUUUACCUGAUGUCAUUUUGGAAUACUCUUAUCUUUGUAUCAUUUUGCUUAACUCUUUAUGUCUAAGUUUUAGGUUUAGACCUCUUUUACUUGAAAUUCAAACUCUUGAGUUAUAUUUGGAUGACUAUAAUCUUAUAUUUAACUGUCACUCUACUUCCAACUGCUUUCCUAUAUUAUAAUCGUG
rnacentral:lncRNA from 1 species